UCAAAUGCUGGCUCUCAUAUGAUCACCAAAGUUAAGCAACACUGAUCCUGGUCAGUACAUGGAUUGGUGACCACUGGGAAAUUCCAGGUGCUGUAAG